GGAACAAGGGAAGGAUGGCGUAGAUAGUUUUUAUGCCUUCCACUGUAUCUGCAGCAAAGUGAAGUAUCAGAGGCUAAUCCUUACUUUGAUGCCGCACUGUAUCUGCAACACUGUAUUUGCAGCACAACUAAAGAGAACAUAGUAGUCCCUGCCAUUGAAACAUUGCUAAUGUCUAUUUGCUGUUAUAAUGUCCAAACAGAUCUUAGUGCCAACGUCUUCUGUGAAAGGAGGCAGCAUAUCAAUUGGAGGUUCUCUUCAGCUUCUUGGUUUCUGCACCUUUGAGGCUUGUGUUGGCAUAUUGGCCGUCAAUCAUGAAGAUGAGAUCUCAGUACAUUCCUGAGGAAGCGAGAAGCACAAUCAUGAACUUCUUCCGCAUACCACUCAACUUAUUUGUUUGUGUGGUGCUUUACAUCGUGAAUGCAUUCCCUAUCACUGUCAUGUUUGGGAUGUGUUCUAUCUUCCUCUUCAUGGCAGCCAUCUUGCUGCACAUGCAAGGGAGGAACCUGCUUAUAGAUAUGUUUCUUUACUAUCACAAUUAUUUGGUAAAAAGACAUUGUCUCCCACCCAACAUACACAUUCUACAACAUAUACUUGGAUCUGUGGUUGGUACUUAUGUAUUGGUAAAGCUGGCUGAUAUAAAUUCUUUUGUAUUUUACCAUUAUGGUGCCAUGUAGAAACCACUGGAUUAUAGGGAGAAAACUGUUAUUGCUUGCCUCCUUACGGGAUGACUCAUGGUACAACGUCAUUUGAAUACAUAUGGUCGACAAUGAAGUUUAGUAUUGAUUUCUGAAUCAUCAAAGGCUCGUGCAGUUGCCCAGCCUUGGUGCUCAACGUCAGAAAGAACUCACUUCUCGGUAGCGC